UGCCUACAUCAGUCUCAUAUCUCUCUCUCUCCAUCGGCAUCUCACACAAACACACGAGCACAACCACCGACCACCACCAGCCACUGUUCAUCCGAUUCAGAAACAUGAACACGUCUCCGGCGUUAAUUCCCCUUGGAGUUUGAUUCCCUCCAUAGAUCCGUCGCCGCUACCGUUGGCCUUGGUAUCUCCGGCGGCAGAUUUCUUCUACGGCGAGGUCGUUCGAUUCUGAUUUCUUUUUUAAAUUACACAAAUCCAGAUCUCUCAUCUCUCAUUCACCAGGUUAGGACAACAAUGGAGGUAAAUCGCCGUAUAGGAAUGGUAGAUUAUUGUGAUUGGUCCUUUCUUUCCCUUUCUUCUUUAAGGUUAUAUUGGACGGUCCUUUUCUUUCCUCACUAUUACUGGCUGUCAACUAGCCAUUAAUGCUGUAGGUUAUCACUGACACUACGACAGUUUCAAUAGCUGAUUUUGCUUGUGAAGCGGAGAUUACUGAGUGUGAGCCAUUCCCAGAUGAAUGCUUCUUUUUGGAGGCCUUUUUUUUGGUCCCUAAUGAUUUAUGAAGGUAUCGCAUGGCUGAAGUCGAAUGGGUAAAGGAUAUAUAUCCAUCAGAAGGAACAAGAGAGAGAGCAGAUAUAGAAGUAGACUUGUGGAACUCGAUAAAGUGGAGUCGAUGAUGCCCACAGCAGGGGAUCCUGAACGCUACAGUUUUUGGCUUGCUACUUUAACAAACCGGAGGCCAUCAGAAAGAUUGGAACUCCUUAGCAAAAAUACACGAGCACCACCAGCAGCCACCACCACCAGCCACUGCCCCUCCGAUGAUGUUAGUUACACGAGCACCAAUCGAUUUAUUCCGAGCUUGGCAUUUGAUUCUUAUUCUGAGCCUUGGAUUUAUUCAGUGAGUGCCUUGGAUUAAUUCGGUUAGGAUUGCAUCCCUUAUUCGAUUAAUUCAGUUUCUCCUCUCUCAUCUUUCUUUGAUUUUGAUUUGAUUUCUAUAGUUUUGAUUUUGAUUUCUAGGGUUACAUAUUUUUAAUGGAAUUCAAUUAUUAUUUGAUGAUUUAGUGAAGUUACAAGAAAGGAAAUUUGUUAAUUAUU